AUAAAAAUUCAAAACUUUCUUAUAGAACUGAAAAACUUUAUUAACCCUUAAAAAAAACCUGCCUAUUCAUUCAGUCCCACAACCCCACUCCUCUGCUCCUCGUCGCCCACCUCCGGUCUUCCUUACCAGUCUCAAAACAAGACAUUCAAUGGUAAUUGGGCUCUUUGUGAUCAGAUUUGUGAAUUUGUAGUGACAAGGGAGACGCUCCACCACCAGAAGGCUGCCACCAACGACCGUCUCAACGCCGCUCACUACAUCCAAAGAUUCGCGGCGACAACAACGUCGUCGAGGACGAUUGUGGCAUCCGGGAGACGCCGGACAUAUUGGAGAAGCACCUGGGAAGGAUGAGAAGUAGAAGGAGAUGAUUGAGUCGUCGCAGAUCAAGCACGCAGAGAGGGAGAGGAUCCCUGAUUGGAUGCACUUGCACAAUAAAGAUUGGAUUUUUAUUUUUUGAAAUGUUUCGGUUGAAUCUCUAGAUGGUGGGUUGUAGCAUAUGAAAGUAAGAUCAUUGACGAAAGGUUACCAAUGUUCUUGAGGACACACACAUGGUAGCAUAUGGUUCAGGGACAAGAUGAAAUCUUUUUUUA